rnacentral:rRNA from 1 species
GUGAGGAAUAUUGGUCAAUGGGCGAGAGCCUGAACCAGCCAAGUCGCGUGAAGGAUGACUGUCUUAUGGAUUGUAAACUUCUUUUAUACGGGAAUAACAAGAGUCACGUGUGACUCCCUGCAUGUACCGUAUGAAUAAGCAUCGGCUAACUCCGUGCCAGCAGCCGCGGUAAUACGGAGGAUGCGAGCGUUAUCCGGAUUUAUUGGGUUUAAAGGGUGCGUAGGCGGCCUGUUAAGUCAGCGGUGAAAUCUAGGAGCUUAACUCCUAAAUUGCCAUUGAUACUGGCGGGCUUGAGUGUAGAUGAGGUAGGCGGAAUGCGUGGUGUAGCGGUGGAAUGCAUAGAUAUCACGCAGAACUCCGAUUGCGAAGGCAGCUUACUAAGGUACAACUGACGCUGAAGCACGAAAGCGUGGGUAUCAAACAGGAUUAGAUACCCCAGUAGUCC